GCUAUAAAACUAGCCCACUCACCAUUUCAAACACACCACUAAACAAAACAAACCAUUUGACACAUUUAGUAGAGGAGAUCAAAAAC
rnacentral:rRNA from 1 species